UACGAAGGGGGCUAGCGUUGCUCGGAAUUACUGGGCGUAAAGGGAGCGUAGGCGGAUAGUUUAGUCAGAGGUGAAAGCCUAGGGCUCAACCUUGGAAUUGCCUUUGAUACUGGCUACCUUGAGUACGGAAGAGGUAUGUGGAACUCCGAGUGUAGAGGUGAAAUUCGUAGAUAUUCGGAAGAACACCAGUGGCGAAGGCGACAUACUGGUCCGUUACUGACGCUGAGGCUCGAAAGCGUGGGGAGCAAACAGG
rnacentral:rRNA from 1 species